rnacentral:rRNA from 1 species
AGAUUGAACGCUGGCGGCAGGCCUAACACAUGCAAGUCGAGCGGCAGCACGGGUACUUGUACCUGGUGGCGAGCGGCGGACGGGUGAGUAAUGCCUAGGAAUCUGCCUGGUAGUGGGGGAUAACGCUCGGAAACGGACGCUAAUACCGCAUACGUCCUACGGGAGAAAGCAGGGGACCUUCGGGCCUUGCGCUAUCAGAUGAGCCUAGGUCGGAUUAGCUAGUUGGUGAGGUAAUGGCUCACCAAGGCGACGAUCCGUAACUGGUCUGAGAGGAUGAUCAGUCACACUGGAACUGAGACACGGUCCAGACUCCUACGGGAGGCAGCAGUGGGGAAUAUUGGACAAUGGGCGAAAGCCUGAUCCAGCCAUGCCGCGUGUGUGAAGAAGGUCUUCGGAUUGUAAAGCACUUUAAGUUGGGAGGAAGGGCAGUUACCUAAUACGUAAUUGUUUUGACGUUACCGACAGAAUAAGCACCGGCUAACUCUGUGCCAGCAGCCGCGGUAAUACAGAGGGUGCAAGCGUUAAUCGGAAUUACUGGGCGUAAAGCGCGCGUAGGUGGUUCGUUAAGUUGGAUGUGAAAUCCCCGGGCUCAACCUGGGAACUGCAUUCAAAACUGUCGAGCUAGAGUAUGGUAGAGGGUGGUGGAAUUUCCUGUGUAGCGGUGAAAUGCGUAGAUAUAGGAAGGAACACCAGUGGCGAAGGCGNCCA